GAUGAACGCCGGCGGCGUGCCUAAUACAUGCAAGUCGAGCGAACAGACGAGGAGCUUGCUCCUCUGACGUUAGCGGCGGACGGGUGAGUAACACGUGGAUAACCUACCUAUAAGACUGGGAUAACUUCGGGAAACCGGAGCUAAUACCGGAUAAUAUAUUGAACCGCACGGUUCAAUAGUGAAAGACGGUUUUGCUGUCACUUAUAGAUGGAUCCGCGCCGCAUUAGCUAGUUGGUAAGGUAACGGCUUACCAAGGCAACGAUGCGUAGCCGACCUGAGAGGGUGAUCGGCCACACUGGAACUGAGACACGGUCCAGACUCCUACGGGAGGCAGCAGUAGGGAAUCUUCCGCAAUGGGCGAAAGCUUGACGGAGCAACGCCGCGUGAGUGAUGAAGGUCUUCGGAUCGUAAAACUCUGUUAUUAGGGAAGAACAAAUGUGUAAGUAACUAUGCACGUCUUGACGGUACCUAAUCAGAAAGCCACGGCUAACUACGUG
rnacentral:rRNA from 1 species